UUAUGUUGUAGCUGAGUUAUAGAGGAUGAUAUCCUAUAAAUAGAGGCAGAGGUACAACAUCUCUACCAUGGUUAUCCACUUAGCACUAGUGCCUAGAGACUUUAUCGCAUUGUCCUAGAUUUCGAGGAGUUGUUAUUACCACUGAGGAGGAGUGUGUAUAAGAGGACUCAAACUAUAGGUCUGAUGGAGAGAAAGAGGAAGACUCAAACAGGGAGUAUGAUUGGACCAG
rnacentral:lncRNA from 1 species